UGUUUGCUGUGAUGAAUCACAAGGACGGCAUAUGAUGAAGGUGGAUAUAAAAAUGGAUCUACAUCGAUUAUGCAUCAUUAUCUGAUCAUAUACCCUAAGCGAACA